AGUGAACGCUGGCGGUAGGCCUAACACAUGCAAGUCGAACGGCAGCACAGUAAGAGCUUGUUCUUACGGGUGGCGAGUGGCGGACGGGUGCGGAAUACAUCGGAAUCUACUUUUUCGUGGGGGAUAAAGUAGGGACACUUACGCUAAUACCGCAUACGACCUACGGGUGAAAGCAGGGGAUCUUCGGAUCUUGCGCGAUUGUAUGUGCCGAUGUCGGAUUAGCUAGUUGGCGGGGUAAAGGCCCACCAAGGCGACGAUCCGUAGCUGGUCUGAGAGGAUGAUCAGCCACACUGGAACUGAGACACGGUCCAGACUCCUACGGGAGGCAGCAGUGGGGAAUAUUGGACAAUGGGCGCAAGCCUGAUCCAGCCAUACCGCGUGUGUGAAGAAGGCCUUCGGGUUGUAAAGCCCUUUUGGUGGGAAAGAAAAGCAGCAGGUUAAUACCCCGCUGUUCUGACGUUACCCAAAGAAUAAGCACCGGCUAACUUCGUG
rnacentral:rRNA from 1 species